GAUAGAUGCGGAAGAGCAGGAAGUCCAGGACGUAGCCGACGUGACACCAUUGCUCGUACAGCUCGCUCUCCUUCUGCGUCGAGCUCACCUGAGCACGUAGCUCGCUCAGGUGCUGACAGAUUUGUUGUAGCUCGGCCAUCGCAGGGCUGCCUGGUUUGUCCUGGACCACAGAAGGAGGCGGACUGUCCUCCUGCCAACGGUAACAGAUGAGGUUGGCGAUGUGUUUGAGGACCACCAGCCUCACCCACUGUGGAACGGCUUGGUGUUUCAUGGAGUUGUUGUGGAGAACAUUGGAGCGGCGUACAAAUAAAAACUCAAAGGCAAACUCUGACCUAUGAUGGGCGUUCCGUUGGCGGUGCUGGGCAGCAGGUCGUUCAUGAUGAGCAGGAAGACGGUGUAGCCCAGGAUGAGGGUCAUCUUGAAGGAGGCCCGGUCCACACUGUGGGGCGGCAGGUAGAAGGACAGAAUGUCGAUGAGCAUGAGGAAAGAGCUGGGGAUCAGCAGGUUGACCACGUAGAGCACGGGGCGCCGCUUUAUCACCACCUUUUUGAAAAAGAGGCAAGAUUGAAAUGGGGAAAUGAUUCCGGAAUAAUUUUCUGCUUCCUUCUGACCCAGAAAGUGAUGACGUCCCAUUCAUCGAUCCCGAACUGAAGGAUGGAGGUCUCUCCCAGAAUGUCUACCAGUUCCCACUCUCCACUGGCUUCCAGGUAACGCUUUGAGUUUCCAGACAUUUCUUUGAAGGUCAGUGCUGGACUCACCCUCACAUCACGUACUGGCAAACAAAACACAAUCAGGGAGAUGGCCAUGAUUUAUUCUGCAGUUGAUUACUGCACAGUCACUAGUCAACAUUCCUGACUCAGUAACAUUUGCACAUAUUUU